AGAGUUUGAUCCUGGCUCAGAACGAACGCUGGCGGCAUGCUUAACACAUGCAAGUCGAACGAGAUCUUCGGAUCUAGUGGCGCACGGGUGAGUAACGCGUGGAAAUCUGCCAUUCUGUACGGAAUAACGUUUGGAAACGAACGCUAAUACCGUAUACGCCCUACGGGGGAAAGGUCCGCCGCAGAAUGAGGAGUCCGCGUCCGAUUAGCUAGUUGGUAGGGUAAUGGCCUACCAAGGCGACGAUCGGUAGCUGGUCUGAGAGGAUGAUCAGCCACACUGGGUCUGAGACACGGCCCAGACUCCUACGGGAGGCAGCAGUGGGGAAUAUUGGACAAUGGGGGCAACCCUGAUCCAGCAAUGCCGCGUGUGUGAUGAAGGCCCUAGGGUUGUAAAGCACUUUCAAUGGUGAAGAUGAUGACGGUAACCAUAGAAGAAGCCCCGGCUAACUUCGUGCCAGCAGCCGCGGUAAUAAGGGCGAAUUC
rnacentral:rRNA from 1 species